GUGCCAGCAGCCGCGGUAAUACGGGGGGAGCUAGCGUUUUUCGGAAUUAUUGGGCGUAAAGGGCGUGUAGGCGGUUAAUAAAGUUGAAAGUGAAAUCCCCGGGCUUAACCUGGGAACUGCUUUCAAAACUCAUUAACUAGAGAACGAUAGAGGAUAGUAGAAUUCCUAGUGUAGAGGUGAAAUUCUUAGAUAUUAGGAGGAAUACCGGUGGCGAAGGCGGCUAUCUGGGUCGUUUCUGACGCUGAGGCGCGAAAGCGUGGGGAGCAAACAGGAUUAGAUACCCUGGUAGUCCACGCUGUAAACGAUGAGUGUUAGGUGUUGGGGUCGUAAGAUUCCAGUGCCGCAGCUAACGCGUUAAACACUCCGCCUGGGAAGUAAGAUCGCAAGAUUAAA
rnacentral:rRNA from 1 species